UACGAAGGGGGCUAGCGUUGCUCGGAAUUACUGGGCGUAAAGCGCACGUAGGCGGCUUGUUAAGUCGGGGGUGAAAUCCUGGAGCUCAACUCCAGAACUGCCUUCGAUACUGGCGAGCUCGAGUUCGGGAGAGGUGAGUGGAACUCGAGUGUAGAGGUGAAAUUCGUAGAUAUUCGCAAGAACACCAGUGGCGAAGGCGGCUCACUGGCCCGAUAC
rnacentral:rRNA from 1 species